UACGGAGGGUGCGAGCGUUGUCCGGAAUCACUGGGCGUAAAGCGCACGUAGGCGGCUUUGUAAGUUAGAGGUGAAAGCCCCAGGGCUUAACCCUGGAAUUGCCUUUAAGACUGCAUCACUAGAAUUGUGGAGAGGUAAGUGGAAUUCCGAGUGUAGAGGUGAAAUUCGUAGAUAUUCGCAAGAACACCCGGUGGCGAAGGCGGCCAACUGGACCAUUACUGGACGCUGAGGCGCGAAAGCGUGGGGAGCAAACAGG
rnacentral:rRNA from 1 species